rnacentral:rRNA from 1 species
UAGGGAAUCUUCCGCAAUGGACGAAAGUCUGACGGAGCAACGCCGCGUGAGUGAAGAAGGAUUUCGGUUCGUAAAACUCUGUUGUUAGGGAAGAAAAAAUGUAUAGUAACUAUAUACAAAAGAGACGGUACCUAACCAGAAAGCCACGGCUAACUACGUGCCAGCAGCCGCGGUAAUACGUAGGUGGCAAGCGUUGUCCGGAAUUAUUGGGCGUAAAGCGCGCGCAGGUGGUUUAGAAAGUCUGAUGUGAAAGCCCACGGCUCAACCGUGGAGGGUCAUUGGAAACUAAUAAACUUGAGUGCAGGAGAGAAGAGUGGAAUUCCUAGUGUAGCGGUGAAAUGCGUGGAGAUUAGGAGGAACACCGGUGGCGAAAGCGGCUUUUUGGCCUGCAACUGACACUGAGGCGCGAAAGCGUGGGGAGCAAACAGG